rnacentral:rRNA from 1 species
GACGAACGCUGGCGGCGUGCUUAACACAUGCAAGUCGAACGGAAAGGCCCUGCUUUUGUGGGGUGCUCGAGUGGCGAACGGGUGAGUAACACGUGAGUAACCUGCCCUUGACUUUGGGAUAACUUCAGGAAACUGGGGCUAAUACCGGAUAGGAGCUCCUGCUGCAUGGUGGGGGUUGGAAAGUUUCGGCGGUUGGGGAUGGACUCGCGGCUUAUCAGCUUGUUGGGGGGGUAGUGGCUUACCAAGGCUUUGACGGGUAGCCGGCCUGAGAGGGUGACCGGCCACAUUGGGACUGAGAUACGGCCCAGACUCCUACGGGAGGCAGCAGUGGGGAAUAUUGCACAAUGGGCGGAAGCCCGAUGCAGCAACGCCGCGUGCGGGAUGACGGCCUUCGGGUUGUAAACCGCUUUCGCCUGUGACGAAGCGUGAGUGACGGUAAUGGGUAAAGAAGCACCGGCUAACUACGUG